CUUAUACUCCCUCCGUUUCACGAUACAUGCCUUUCAUUUAUCAAAAUAUAGAUGUAUCUGAACAUAUUUUAGUAUAUAGGUACAUCCAUUUUUAGAUAAAUAGAAGUCAAGUAUUUUAGAAUGAAGGGAGUAUCUG
rnacentral:pre_miRNA from 1 species